AUGCAGUCGAGCGGACAGAUGGGAGCUUGCUCCCUGAUGUUAGCGGCGGACGGGUGAGUAACACGUGGGUAACCUGCCUGUAAGACUGGGAUAACUCCGGGAAACCGGGGCUAAUACCGGAUGGUUGUUUGAACCGCAUGGUUCAAACAUAAAAGGUGGCUUCGGCUACCACUUACAGAUGGACCCGCGGCGCAUUAGCUAGUUGGUGAGGUAACGGCUCACCAAGGCAACGAUGCGUAGCCGACCUGAGAGGGUGAUCGGCCACACUGGGACUGAGACACGGCCCAGACUCCUACGGGAGGCAGCAGUAGGGAAUCUUCCGCAAUGGACGAAAGUCUGACGGAGCAACGCCGCGUGAGUGAUGAAGGUUUUCGGAUCGUAAAGCUCUGUUGUUAGGGAAGAACAAGUACCGUUCGAAUAGGGCGGUACCUUGACGGUACCUAACCAGAAAGCCACGGCUAACUACGUGCCAGCAGCCGCGGUAAUACGUAGGUGGCAAGCGUUGUCCGGAAUUAUUGGGCGUAAAGGGCUCGCAGGCGGUUUCUUAAGUCUGAUGUGAAAGCCCCCGGCUCAACCGGGGAGGGUCAUUGGAAACUGGGGAACUUGAGUGCAGAAGAGGAGAGUGGAAUUCCACGUGUAGCGGUGAAAUGCGUAGAGAUGUGGAGGAACACCAGUGGCGAAGGCGACUCUCUGGUCUGUAACUGACGCUGAGGAGCGAAAGCGUGGGGAGCGAACAGGAUUAGAUACCCUGGUAGUCCACGCCGUAAACGAUGAGUGCUAAGUGUUAGGGGUUUCCGCCCCUUAGUGCUGCAGCUAACGCAUUAAGCACUCCGCCUGGGGAGUACGGUCGCAAGACUGAAACUCAAAGGAAUUGACGGGGGCCCGCACAAGCGGUGGAGCAUG
rnacentral:rRNA from 1 species